CCCUUAGAUGUUCUGGGCGGCCCGCGCACUACAUUGGCACUCUCAAUAAGUUCCUAGAUCUAAAACUUUGGGGUAUUCUAUUAAGUGGUGUCGUGACUGGGGUUAACCCUUGCAAUUAUUGGUUACGAACGAGGAAUUCCUUGUAAUCGCGGUUUAUCAGCCCGCGUUGAAUGCGUCCCUGCCCUUUGUACACACCGCCCGUCGCUCCUACCGAUGAAUCGUCCGGUGAAGUUCAUGGAGUGGUGGUUGUUCCAGCUGCUGUCGAAGUGAAAUGGACCUCACGAUUUAGAGGAAGGAGAAGUCGUAACA
rnacentral:rRNA from 1 species